CCAGGUGUCCCCAGGUGUGUCCAGGUGUCCCCAGGUGUGUCCCAGGUGUCCCCAAGUGUCCCCAGGUGUGUCCCAGGUGUCCCCAGGUGUAUCUCAGGUGUCCCCAGGUGUCCCCAGGUGUGUCCCCAGGUGACUCCAGGUGUGUCCCCAGGUGUCCCCAGGUGUCCCCAGGUGUCCCCAGGUGUAUCUCAGGUGUCCCCAGGUGUAUCUCAGGUGUCCCCAGGUGUCCCCAGGUGUCCCCAGGUGUAUCUCAGG